rnacentral:rRNA from 1 species
AGAGGAAGUAAAAGUCGUAACAAGGUCUCCGUUGGUGAACCAGCGGAGGGAUCAUUAAAAGAGUUGAAAAACUCCUAAACCCACUGUGAACCUACCUAUGUCGUUGCUUCGGCGGGCGGCCCCAGGGCGGGGCCUCGGCCUUCAUACAGGUGCUCGCCGGCGGCUUUCACAAAAACUCUAGUAUUUAUGGGCAUCCCGAAUAGCGAAGAUAAAAUGAAUCAAAACUUUCAACAACGGAUCUCUUGGUUCUGGCAUCGAUGAAGAACGCAGCGAAAUGCGAUAAGUAAUGUGAAUUGCAGAAUUCCAGUGAAUCAUCGAAUCUUUGAACGCACAUUGCGCCCAUUAGCAUUCUGAUGGGCAUGCCUGUUCGAGCGUCAUUUCAACCCUCAGGCCCUUAGGUGGCCUGGCGUUGGGGAUCUGCAGUUGAUCGCAGGCCCUAAAAGAUAGUGGCGGUGCUCGCUAGAAAUCCGGGCGCAGUGGAAUCUUUUUCUCGCCUAGGACGUCUUGAGGGCUGCCGGCCGUAAAACAGCGUAAUUGCUAGAAGGU